GAGAAUAUCGAGAUGAAGAAGUGGUGCAUCUGAUUAAGCUGGGGUUCGGAAAGGACAUGGAAUUCACACUGCAAUCCAGGAGCUUUGUGUCCUGGGAUUUGCCCACCUUGGAUGUGUUGGGGGACACCCACGUGUACAUGGAUCAACUGGGACACCUUCUAGGCUGAGCUUGGGACCCAGGCUGUGAGCUGGACCCACUGAGAAGGUGCAAUUGCACAGCUCCAGAUGCAGGUAAAUGCACUCCAGCUGCUUUAUUCCUACACUGCGUUCAUUGCUUUCCUUGGGACUUGACUGCACCAUGGUGGGUGAGGAGGAGGGAAAUGCCUGCCCCAAACAGGCCUUCAGUGCUGAGCAGCUCCUCUGAGUUCCAGGUAUUUCCCUUAGGGCUUUCUCCAGUCUACAGCAAGGAAAAGAAAAGUAACUUGAGGUAGUGGGUUGUUGGCAACCAACCCUUGUUUUCUAUUUCAGUGUUUUUGUGAGGUUUUAACUCCAGAGUAGAUCAGGGAAAUUCACUGCAUUGCGUUUUUGUAUCACAGGAGCAUCCUGCAUACGUGAUUGGGAUUAAGGCUAUUUGACACAGGAGUAAUAAACCACAGUUAAGGCAGGCUUGUGCUCUGGAAAGGGUUUGCAGUGUGUUGGGGAGAUGCCACAGCUCUGCCUAGGACACGGUGAAAGAGGAUGAUGGUGAAACUAAUGGGAACAUGGGGUUUGCUGUGCCUGGGAUUAUGAGCCUUCUGGCUAUUUGAUUUUAGUGCUGCAGUAGACAAUGAGGUAAUAAAGCAUCAAUAACACUUGAGGCAGUUGGCCACUGCUGAUGUGGUUGUGCCUGUUCUUACAGGAGGAUUUGAAGUUUACAGUUUCAGGGUCAGUUUGGGGCAAGAAGCAAGAGUAUGACAUGGGAUUUCUGCCACCUUUGUAGCUGCCUUCUUGCAGUGACGUGCA